GUUCAGUUUUAAGAAUUUUGUAUAUAUUUUGAAUACAAAUUCUUUCUCAGAUCUGUAUUUUGCAAAAUUUUUUUUCAAUAUGUGGCUUGUCUUUUUGUUCCAUUAACAAGGUCUUUUCCAGAGUAUAAACUUUAAAUAUUAAGAAAUCCACGUUGUCAUUUCUUCUGCGUAUAUCAACCUUUUGUGUCAUUUGUUAAAAUUCAUUAACAAACCCAAAGGCACAUAGCUUUUCUUGUAUAGUUUCUUCUAGAAAUUGUAUAGUUUUGCAUUUUUAGUGUAAGGAUGAUUUUGAGUGAUUAUUUGUGUAAGUUGUAAAGUUUUCAUCUACAUGCAUAUCAUUUCCUAUGGUUUCCAGUAAUCAUUCCCUCACUAUUUUUGGGAAAGACACAGGAUAGUGGGCUCUGUUAGAGCAGAUAGAUGGCUAGACAUGAACAGGAGGGGGAGCUCCUGGAAAAGGGAAAGUCUGGGAAGGCUCACCUGGAGCGACCACCAAAAAUUCACAUUUAGUGGCAUCUGUAAUGCUAGAGUGGAUAGACACUUGUCAGUUGUGGGUAGGAGGGAGAAGAGGUACCUAUGCAGAAAGAAACACCCUAUAAAUCCUCUUAAGAUGCCCCAAUCAUCAUUCACUCUGCAGUAAUAAUGUGACAAUAUUGCUAGAUACAUGCUGAUAAGGACAAAGGGGACAGUCUUAAAAGAAACCUGGCACCAUAAGUACAGAUUAGGGCAGAGAAGCACAUUCAAAAGAGAUAGACGCAGUAGGUACAAAUGUGACUGCUGUCAGCCUGCCCGGGAUGGCGGGAAGGAGCCUGGUGCCAGAGUGGAUUCCAACCGAUCACCACACAUGUGCCUCAACCAACAGUGAGGAGGUCCCACAAGCCUAAGUGGGGCAAGUUGGGGACCUAAGGCAGUAGCAGGAAAACCAGACAAAGAAAACUGCUGGACACUUGAGACAGAGGCAGGAAUGUGAAGAAGUCCAAAAUAAAAUUCCCUGCACAGGACUCUUACGCUGCUUUCCUGCAUGAUCAGCCUACUCCUCUCUAUUUUUCUACAAUAAGCUCUUCACACUGUAUUUUUUUCAAUGAAGUUGUCUGCCAUCUCUGUAUUGUCCCUUGGUGAAAAUCUUUCUUCCAAGUUAGACAAGAACUGGGACAUCCAUUUCCAGAACUGAUGGCACUUAAUAACUGGCGCUCCAACUUUAAGUGGUGCAGAAGGUGGCCUUUAGGGGGCGCCAGCCGUCACACUUGGAGCAAGAGGGCCCUGCAUAGUCCCCAUCUCCCUGCAGGUGUUGUGCUGCGACGACACUGCCAGCAAGAGGGCCGGGCAGUGUCCCCAGCUGCUAGCAGGGGGCGUACGACGGGUAUACUGUGAGCAAAAGGACCCUGCAGUGUCCCUAGCUGCCAGCAGGUGGCGCACGGGCACCACACCAUGAGCAAGAGGAUCCUACAGUGUCCUGGUUGGCAGCAGGGGGCGUGCUGCCACCACACUGAGCAAGAGGAUCCUGUAGUGCCCCCAGCGGCCAGAAGGGGGCGUGCCCUACUACAAGGCAAGCAAGAGGGCCCGGCAGUGUCCCCAGCUGCCAGCUGCGGAGCCAGCCGCCACUUCACUUGGAGCAAGAGGGCCGGGCAGUGUCCCCAGCUGCCAGCAUCGGGAGUGCUGCUACUACACUGAGCAAGAGAGCCCUGCAACGUCCCCAACUGCCAGCAGGUGGCGUGCCAUCACUAUACUGCGAGCAAGAGGGCCCUGCAGUGCCCCGGCGCCAGCAGGGGGCGCUGGCCACCACUGUAAGGAAGAGCGCCCUGCAGUUGCUCUAGUCGCCAGCAGGGGGCGCACUUGCACAGCACUGUGAGCAAGAGGGCCCUGUAGUGCGCAGCUGCAAGCAGGGGUCGCCGGAGCCCGGCUUUUCAGAUUACUGAUGUUUCGCCCGUCUCUGCGCCCCUCCCCUCGCGGCGUGCGUCUCUGCCCCUGCACCCCGCCCCUUCAGGCCCACGCGGUGUGCGUCUCUGCGCCUGCACCACGACCCUCCCCCCGCCACCGCGCGGGCGUGCGACUCUGCGCUUGCGCCAGCCUGGGCCACGCCUGGCUUAGGACUCUGCGCCUGAGCUGCGCCGGCGUGCGACUCUGCGCCUGCCCUGGCGUGCGACUGUGCGCCAGCGCCGGCGCUGUACGUUUGUGAGGGCGGAGCUGCAUUCUCCUCAGCCCAGACACUGAGAGCAUCCCGAGGGCGGAGCUGUGUUCUCCUCUGCACAGACCUCGGGGGUACCGUGAAGACAGAGCAGCGUUCUACUCUGCCCAGACCCUGGCGUGGGGGGCACCGCGAGGGCGGAGCUGCGUUGUGCUCAGCACAGACGUUGGCGGCACCGCCUCGCUUUGGGACAACUCGGGGCCGCAUCCACAGUGAAUAAAAUACUUCCUGUUUCUAGCCCUGAAUAACGAAGAUUUCAGAGGAGAGCCUGGUGUCACUUACAGCAGACAUUGCAGAUGCCUCAGCAUUUCAGAUGAAGACGGUAAAGACCUUCUUUGUUUCAUAAAAACCUUUGUUUUCCAGGGGAGAAAACACAGGUUGGAUCUAAACUCAAUCCUCCUACUGAAAUAUUUUAAUGACACUGAAAGAGGUUGUUGCAUUUGGCAGGUGCAGGUGGAGCUGUGCGGUCCUGCACUGAAGCCCUGCAGUCCUGACUUCUGAGUGGAGCUAGAGGAGAAUUAUAUUAAUGUGUUUGCACUACUUGCUCAAUUGUAAAGCAUAACAAAUAUAUUUAACGCAUGUUUUUUAAAUGAGAAUAAAAUAGUUUAACAAUGUUUACAUACCUAUUUUAGUUAUUACAUUCUCUAAUCUAUUUUUAUCCUCACACCAUGAAAGCGCUCCACCAUCUCCAUUUCAGAAAGUAGACAGUAACUGAACAACACUAUCUUCUUUUAAAAAACAUUUAUUUCAUUAUGAAAGUUUAUGGUUUAUGUAAUUAAUACCUUUUUGUGGUCUGCAUUCAAUUGGUGUGGGCAUCUGCACACUGUCGUGGGUCCACCGUUGUGAAAUCGCACACAGUGGUCUCACUGCCCUAAACAGCCAGGGCUCUCUGUCCAUCCAUCCUUUCCUCUCCCCAACCCCUGUCAACCACUGAUUAUUUUGCUAUCUAUGUAAUUUUCCCUUUUCCAAAAUGUCACAUAAUGCCCACAGCAAUGAAUGCGAGUUUCUUUUGCUCCACAUCCUCACCAGCAUUUGGUGUUUUUGGUCUUGUGGAUUUUGGCCAUUCUAAUAGGUAUGUAGUGGUAUCUUACUGUUGUCUUAAUUGUCAAUUCCUAAUAACACAUUGUACAGAGCAUCUUUUCAUAUACUUAAUUUCCAUCUGCAUAUCUGUUCAGCUUUUGCCCGUUUUUAAUUGGGUUAUUUGUUUUCUUAUUGAGUUUUAAGAGUUCUUUGCAUAUUUCAGAUAUGAAUCCUUAGAUAUAUUUUGCAAAUAUUUUCUCACAGUCUCUGGUUUGUCUUUUUAUUCUCUUAACAGUAUCUUUCACAAAAGUAAAGUUUUUUUAUGUUAAAGUUCAACUUUCCAAUAUUUUUCUUCGUGGAUAAUGCUUUUGCUAUUGUAUCUAAAAGAAUCACCAAAUCCGAGGUUAUCUAGAGUUUUUCCUUAUGUUAUCUUCUAGGAGUUUGAAAAUUUUGCAUUUAAUAUAUUGAUCUAAUAUCUACUUUGCAUUAACUUUUGUAAAAGGUGUAAGGUCUGUUUAUAGAUUCUUUUUUUUUUUUUUUUUUUUGCACAUGGAUGUCCAUUUGUUCCAGCACCGUUUGUUAAAAAGACUCUCCUCUCUCCAUUGAAUUGCCUUUACUCCUUUGUCAGAGAUCAGCUGGCUGUAUUUCAGUGUGUUUCUGGGCUCUUUGUUUUGUUUCACUGAUGUAUGUGUAUAUGUCUUCUGUUUUGCCUUCAGUUUUGUAAUUGCUACAUCAAUGUAAUUGCUACCUCAAUUUGCUUAUGAAUUCUCAUUUGUAAACAGAAAAGCAUAAAUUAAUGCCUGAGUACAUUUUAGGGUAGAUGUUGCCUUGAAUACAAUGAGCAGAUGAGUUAUAAUUUUAAAGUGAAUAUAAAAAUUUGACCAUAGUGGUAAAAGAUUUGCGAACUAGUGAUAUCAAUGACAGAGUCCAUUGCAAUAUUGCUUCAUCCUUUGGCUCAGCUCUGCUUCACACCAGGUAAGUACCAAUCCCUUUUGUGAUUCAUUCAAGGAUUUCUGUGGGGUGGAAAGUAGAAAUAUGAUAUCAGUGGAGGGAGAGAAGGCAGUUUCCCAGACUGGGAGCAGUCAGAUCUCCAGUGGGUCCCAACACUGCUCUGUGGCAAUACCUAGAGGGUGAUGGAAACAGAGACAGGGUGCAAAUAAGGUGGGUGCUGGCCCUAGGGUUCCCAGUGUUUUCUGGUUCCCAUGGUCUAUAAGACGUCCAAAAUGAGACCUUCUGGGCUUUGGGGGGCCCCCUGUGGAAUUGGAAAAUGAGGAAGUGAGCAGUGACAAUCUAGACUCAUUAUUAGAGGUACAUCUCUCAUUUUUCAGCAACCAAGGAGCCUUCGAUUAGUAGUGAAAUUGUGGCACCCCAACAAUGGUGGAGUGGAAUGUCCUGCUACUCUGGAGGGGUGAUGGCUCAGGGUCGAGACUGAACUAAUUAGAAAAAAGAAUGCACUCCAGGAAUAUCAAGUCCAAAACGAAGCUCUUCAAACCAUCUGGGAAGAGAAAACAGCAUGACAAGGAAAGGUAUAUUUGUCUGAUCCCAGGAAUCAAUAUAAACAUCCAUGAUAACCCCACCUAUUUUUUAAAUAUAUGAUUUGGAUGAAACAAGAGAAAGAGACUGAUUGUUGCUGAGUCCCUGCUGCAGUCUCGACACAGCUGGAGAUGCCCUGCUCCCCUGCUCCCCUGCUCCCCUGCUCUCCUGCUCUCCUGCUCUCUUUAUUUUGUUGAUGCUCAUGAGGACCCUGAUGUCUGAGGAAGAAGGUUCCCGUCCAGCUGUGCCCCUGGUGUGUCACGUGCCAGCCUUGUCAACGCACACGAGAACCUGACAGGGUGAGUGUUAUAACCCCAGUCAUAGAAAAGGAAACGUCUCUAAAGUCCUUAGCAUCUUGCCCGAGUUCGGACACUUAGCAGAGGCCUGAGUUUAGAUGUAGCCCCGUCUUGCUCUUUGACAGCCUCAGCACCACGUGCCCUGGGUGACCCACGAAGUGAGUCACUGACAACCCUCGUGGUUGGCUCAUGGCACAGCGUGGAGCGAAAUGGCCCACUGACCUCUCCAGACACUUGGACAAUUCGUGAUAUAGUUUAUGCGGUCACUCCCAGUGAGUUCUAUUGUUCAGUUUAAUAGAAUACCUAAUUCUGUGUUUAUUAUGAAUAAAGGGAGAUUUCUUGUGGUUUUUAAGAAUAUGAAGCAUAUCUAUUUUGUAUACAAGUUGGAAGUUCCAAUACUAUAGGAAGCAUAAGUGCAGGUUAUAAUGAUGGGUCUUUUAUGAGACUGAAUUCACAUCAAACUGAAUCAGUAACUCCGGCUGUAUGAACAGGGUGAGACAUUAAACAUUUAAUGAAAAGAAUUCCUUUCUUAGGUCACAGCAAGGACUAAAUGUGUCUAAUUAUCAUGCCCGCUAAGAAGAUGUAUUGUGAUAUUUGCAGUUAAUCACUCAUUCAGUUCCAAGGGUAUCUAUUAAUUGUCUGCUCUGGGCAUAACAACAAUUGGAAGCAGUAUGUUCACAUGAAAAAAAAACUUACCUGAGGCUCUAAGUCACAACUUUCCAUGACCAGCACACAUUUCUGAUUUGAAAUACAUAUCUAAAGCUUCAAAUGCAUAAAUAGAUAUCCCAAUCUAGAACUAAGUUAAUAGUUGCUUAGAAUUAAUUGUUUAAAUUAUCCUGGGAAUCAGAAAGGUAUGUCUACAUGAAACAAUAAAGGUUAUGUUAGAAUUAAUAAACUUUAGAAGACCAUUUUAAUCUUAAUAUAUAAGCAUACUACCUAGGCACACUGUUUAAAUACAUCCGCAACCUACUAUUUUUAGAUUUAGGUAAAUCAUUAAUCCUUAAAUUUGGAAGAUUCCAGUGUUAGAGCUCUAGACUAUGAAACUUGGAUGUUUUUCUAAAAUUUUUGAGUUUUUAUCCAGAAAUACAUAUUUUCCUGGUACUGAGAACUGCAAGAAAUUUCACUUGGAGUCUCCAAAUAGUCAACCAUGUGUGAUGUCAACAUCAGUGUAAUAGAUACUAUCACAAACA